GUGGGGAAUAUUGGACAAUGGGCGCAAGCCUGAUCCAGCCAUGCCGCGUGAGUGAUGAAGGCCUUAGGGUUGUAAAGCUCUUUUGUCCGGGAAGACAAUGACUGUACCGGAAGAAUAAGCCCCGGCUAACUUCGUGCCAGCAGCCGCGGUAAUACGAAGGGGGCUAGCGUUGCUCGGAAUCACUGGGCGUAAAGGGCGCGUAGGCGGACUUUUAAGUCGGAGGUGAAAGCCCAGGGCUCAACCCUGGAAUUGCCUUCGAUACUGGGAGUCUUGAGUUCGGAAGAGGUUGGUGGAACUGCGAGUGUAGAGGUGAAAUUCGUAGAUAUUCGCAAGAACACCGGUGGCGAAGGCGGCCAACUGGUCCGAAACUGACGCUGAGGCGCGAAAGCGUGGGGAGCAAAC
rnacentral:rRNA from 1 species